UACGGGGGGGGUAAGCGUUGUUCGGAAUUACUGGGCGUAAAGGGCUCGUAGGCGGCCAACUAAGUCGGACGUGAAAUCCCUCAGCUUAACUGGGGAACUGCGUCCGAUACUGGAUGGCUUGGAUUUGGGAGAGGGAUGCGGAAUUCCAGGUGUAGCGGUGAAAUGCGUAGAUAUCUGGAGGAACACCGGUGGCGAAGGCGGCAUCCUGGACCAAUAUUGACGCUGAGGAGCGAAAGCUAGGGGAGCAAACGGA
rnacentral:rRNA from 1 species